CUAUUAUUCAGUCUUUGGCUAACAUUGUACGCUAUACACUAACAUAUACAUUUUCGAAAAAAAGGACCAAAUAUGAAGAAUAAAUUACAUAUCUUGUUUAUUGUUGUUUCGGCAUCCUGCAUCAUCUGGCAUGCGUAUGCGCAAGUGAAUUGUACAGCUAGAGGGGCAGGACGGUUUCCAAAUCCAAACGACAACACUUGUCAAAAUUACACGUAUUGUGUGUUCAUUGCUACUAAUAAUACAUACGCUUCGUACAACUACCAUUGUCCAACAACUUCUGUAUUCGACCCUAAUAGAGCGCGAUGUACCACAAAUUAUACUUGCACUACUGCUGCUACCGGAUAAAUUUAUUGACGAAAAUUAUCGACGUAUAUAAUCGUUGUAACUAAAAAGUUCCAUAGGAACAUACGUAUUAUAAUAUUAUGUAAGCAUUGAUUUUGUAAUUUCUUUUAUAGAGUUCUUGAGUCUAUAUACUUACUUAGAAUGAA